AUGACCCGGCGUCCCACGGCGGCUCGUCAUCAAGCCUGCAAUGUGGGUCGUAAUUCAAAGCCUAGGAGCCGACUAAAAAAAGAGGCAGGCUCAUGGGUCAGUAUCCAAUAG
rnacentral:rRNA from 1 species